rnacentral:rRNA from 1 species
UACGUAGGGCGCAAGCGUUGUCCGGAAUUAUUGGGCGUAAAGAGCUCGUAGGUGGCUUGUCGCGUCUGCCGUGAAAGCCCAUGGCUUAACUGUGGGUCUGCGGUGGAUACGGGCUGGCUAGAGGUAGGUAGGGGAGAAUGGAAUUCCCGGUGUAGCGGUGAAAUGCGCAGAUAUCGGGAGGAACACCGGUGGCGAAGGCGGUUCUCUGGGCCUGUACUGACGCUGAGGAGCGAAAGCGUGGGGAGCGAACAGG